GACGAACGCUGGCGGCGUGCUUAACACAUGCAAGUCGAACGGAAAGGCCCUGCUUUUGUGGGGUGCUCGAGUGGCGAACGGGUGAGUAACACGUGAGUAACCUGCCCUUGACUUUGGGAUAACUUCAGGAAACUGGGGCUAAUACCGGAUAGGAGCUCCUGCUGCAUGGUGGGGGUUGGAAAGUUUCGGCGGUUGGGGAUGGACUCGCGGCUUAUCAGCUUGUUGGUGGGGUAGUGGCGUACCAAGGCUUUGACGGGUAGCCGGCCUGAGAGGGUGACCGGCCACGUUGGGACUGAGAUACGGCCCAGACUCCUACGGGAGGCAGCAGUGGAGAAUAUUGCACAAUGGGCGGAAGCCUGAUGCAGCAACGCCGCGUGCGGGAUGACGGCCUUCGGGUUGUAAACCGCUUUCGCCUGUGACGAAGCGUGAGUGACGGUAAUGGGUAAAGAAGCACCGGCUAACUACGUG
rnacentral:rRNA from 1 species